rnacentral:rRNA from 1 species
AAUUUGCCACUAUGGGCGAAAGCCUGAUGGAACAACGCCGCGUGAGUGAAGAAGGUUUUACGAUCUUCCCACUAUGUGUCAAGAGAUGAACAAGUUCAGUAGUAAAUGGCUGUACCUUGAAGGUUCUUUAUUAGAAUGUCACGGCUAACUACGUGCCAGCAGCCGCGGUAAUACGUCGGUGGCAUGCGUUUUCCGGAAUUAUUGGGCGUUAAACGCGCGCAGGCGGUCCUUUAAGUCUGAUGUGAAAGCCAACGGCUCAACCGUGGAGGGUCAUUGGAAACUGGGGGACUUGAGUGCAGAAGAAGAAAGUGGAAUUCCAAGUGUAGCGGUGAAAUGCGUAGAAAUUUGGAGGAACACCAGUGGCGAAGGCGACUUUCUGGUCUGUAACUGACGCUGAGGCGAGAAAGCGUGGGGAGCAAACA